UGAUGAAUGUCAGAAAAAGUUAACCGUGUACAGUUUAAAAAGUAUCGUUUCUUUAAAUUAUGUUAUUUUUAUAGGGAAAUUAACUAGAUGACACAUUCAUAAUGGUGCUCCAAAACACGGGAAAGUACAGAGCGGAUAGAGAUGACUCGAAAAAGAGGGAAGCUGGUUCAUCCACCGGCCCGAGAGAGGAGUCUUCAGAGUCUCGUAUUCGUUUGGCCCUGGAAAACGAUAGGAUUGAUUCGAAAUAUGGGUUCGACAGAGUAAGGGAUGUUAAAGAACGGACAGGGUACUUAAUAAACAUGCAUACCGCAGAAGUAUUAGAUGAAGACAAAAGGCUUGUAGCUGCGAUGGAUUACUACUUCAUAGAGAUGGAUGGGUCAAGGUUCAAAGUGUCCCUGACCUUCCAGCCAUACUUCUUGAUUCUGGCUCGCAAGGAGUGUGAACAGGAGGUCAUACAGUUCCUGUCCAAGAGAUUUGCUGGAACUAUACACAAGAUCAAUGUUAUUGAGAAGGAAGAUUUGGAUUUGCUUAACCACUUAUCUGGCAUAAAGCAACGGUACAUAAAGCUUUCUUUCAUGUCUCAAAAUGAAAUGAUGAAAGUUCGGAGAGAGAUACUAACAGCCGUCAACAAAAAUAAGGAGCGAGAGAAAAAAGAUCAGAUCUAUGCAGAAAUGUUGACCAAUGCGUUGACUAGUGCUGCUGCUAUAGAACAUGCUAAGAAGACUACUGAUCAUAUGGAGAAUAUUCUUGAUAUUAGAGAGCAUGACGUCCCCUACCAUGUACGAGUAUCGAUAGACAUGCAAAUCUUUUGUGGUACCUGGUACACUGUCAAAAGCCGUGGUACAGAGACACCAAUCUUCACAAAAAGAGAUGACAUCAUAGAGAGACCGGACCCCAUAGUGUUGGCUUUUGAUAUAGAGACUACGAAACUUCCGCUAAAGUUUCCCGACUCACAGACUGAUCAGAUAAUGAUGAUAUCCUACAUGAUUGAUGGGCAAGGCUAUUUGAUAACUAAUAGAGAAAUCAUUUCUGUGGAUGUUGAAAAUUUUGAGUAUACACCCAAACCAGAAUUUGAAGGCCAAUUUAUAGUGUUCAAUGAAGAAAACGAACUGGGCUUGAUACAGAAAUUCUUUGAUCACAUUAUGGAUGUAAAACCUCAUAUUUUUGUCACAUAUAACGGUGACUUUUUCGACUGGCCGUUCGUGGAAGCUCGCGCGGCUGUUCUAGGCUUGGACAUGAAACAGGAAAUAGGGUUCAGUAAAAUUGCAGCCAGAGAUGGCACUUACGCCUGUCGACCAGCCAUGCAUAUGGAUUGUUUGUGCUGGGUAAAAAGAGAUUCGUACCUCCCUGUAGGUUCUCAAGGUUUGAAAGCCGUCGCCAAAGCAAAGUUGAGGUAUGAUCCUGUCGAAUUGGACCCUGAGGAAAUGUGCAGGAUGGCAGCUGAGCAGCCUCAGGUGUUAUCAAACUAUUCGGUGUCGGACGCGGUGGCGACAUACUACCUAUACAUGAAGUACGUCCAUCCUUUCAUAUUCGCGCUCUGCACCAUCAUCCCUCUGGAGCCAGACGAGGUGCUUCGCAAAGGCUCAGGCACUCUAUGCGAGUCACUGCUGAUGGUGCAGGCGUUCCACGCGAACAUCGUGUUCCCCAACAAGCAGGUGGAGGAGCUCAACAAGCUCACUGCCGACGGACACGUGCUGGAGACCGAGACAUACGUCGGCGGACAUGUGGAGGCGCUGGAGUCUGGAGUAUUCAGAGCGGACAUUAAAUGCAAGUUCAAAAUAGUUCCGUCAGCGGUGGACAAACUGAUGGAGACCACGGAAAAGACCAUGAAACACGCCAUCGAAGUAGAGGAAGGGAUCCCACUGGACUUGGUGACGAAUUUCGACGAAGUUUGCGCAGAAAUAAAGGCAAAGUUGCAGCAUAUGAAGGACCAUCCUAGAAGGGAUGAAAACCCACUAAUUUAUCACUUGGAUGUCGGCGCUAUGUAUCCCAAUAUUAUUUUGACUAACAGAUUACAGCCGUCCGCCAUGGUGAACACGAGUAUAUGCGCGGUGUGCGACUACAACCGUCCCGGCGCCGCCUGCCAGCGACACAUGGAGUGGAUGUGGAGGGGAGAUUACUUACCGGCCACACGCAGUGAAUACCAGCGUAUACAACAGCAAUUGGAGACGGAGAAGUUCCCGCCGCUAUAUCCUGGAGGACCCACAAGAGCUUUCCACUCUUUGCCUAAAGAGGAUCAGGCGGCUUAUGAGAAGAAGCGUUUAGCCGACUACUGCAGAGUGGCAUACAAGAAGACGAAAGUAACAAGAACAGAAGUCAGAACUACCACUAUAUGUCAGAAGGAGAACUCGUUUUACGUCGACACUGUUAGAGCUUUCAGGGACCGUCGCUACGAAUACAAGGCGUUAAACAAACAAGCUAAAGCUAAAGUAGCCGAGGCAGUGGCAAGCGGCGACGCGGCGGAGAUCAAGUCUGCCAAGAGCAGGGAGGUGCUGUUCGACUCGCUGCAGCUCGCGCACAAGUGCAUCCUCAACUCCUUCUACGGAUAUGUUAUGAGGAGAGGUGCUCGCUGGCACAGCAUGGAGAUGGCGGGUAUCGUGUGCUACACGGGCGCUAACAUCAUCAUGAAGGCGCGGGAGAUCAUCGAGCAGAUCGGCAGGCCGCUAGAGCUUGAUACUGACGGUAUUUGGUGUAUACUGCCGUCGUCAUUCCCUGAGAACGUGACGGUCCUCACCACGCAUGCUAAGAAGAAGAAGAUUAACGUGUCUUUCCCGAAUGCGGUGCUCAAUGCUAUGGUCAAAGACCACUUCACAAACGACCAAUACUUCGAGCUAGUGGACCCUGAACUCAAGAAAUACGAGCAAAGAGCAGAGAACUCUAUAUUCUUCGAAGUAGACGGGCCGUACUUAGCUAUGGUACUGCCGGCCUCUAAGGAAGAAGGAAAGAGAUUGAAAAAGAGAUAUGCUGUGUUUAACUUCGAUGGAUCUUUAGCUGAGUUAAAAGGUUUCGAAGUAAAACGCCGUGGAGAAUUGCAACUCAUCAAGAUCUUCCAGUCAUCAGUUUUCGAAGCAUUCCUUAAAGGGAACGACCUAAAAUCCUGCUAUAGUGCAGUCGCAAAAGUCGCCGACUAUUGGCUCGAUGUGCUAUACAGUAAAGGCAGCAAUAUGCCUGAUUCAGAACUGUUUGAGCUGAUCUCGGAAAACCGGUCCAUGUCGAAGAAACUUGAAGAUUAUGGAGGCCAGAAGUCCACUUCGAUUUCGACUGCGAAGAGAUUGGCGGAGUUCUUGGGCGAUCAGAUGGUGAAGGAUGCUGGUUUGGCUUGCAGGUUCAUAAUAUCAAAGAAGCCGGAGGGUGCUCCGGUCACCGAGCGAGCUAUCCCCCUCGCCAUCUUCCAGUCCCCCGCCGCCGUCAAGCGACACCAUCUGCGACGCUGGCUCAAGGACAACAGCAUUACUGAAGAUAUCGAUAUCAGGGAUGUGCUCGACUGGGCAUAUUAUAUCGAGCGGCUCAGUGGCGCUAUACAGAAGAUUAUUACAAUACCCGCUGCUAUGCAGGGGUUAGACAAUCCAGUCCCUCGCUGUCAGUACCCUGACUGGCUUCACAAGAAGAUGUUAGCCAAGACAGACAAGUAUAAGACGAGGAAGAUCACUGACAUGUUCAGUGUGCAGCCAAAAGAACUACAGCAGAGCUCUGAUGAUGGACAGGAACCGUCUACCAGCACUGAUGGGAAUAUGGACACAGAAAUCGACAUAGAAGACAUAGGCAAGUCUACCACCGACAGAGACAGCACAAUACGUCCGAUAGUGCACACGGUGAAGCGCAAGCGCGAGGAGUCGCCGGUCAAGGAGCCGCAACACUGGCGCGAGGCGCUGGGUGCUCCACCGCCUUUUGGGAAUACUAAGGAAGAGAGAAAGGCGUGGAUACUCUUCCAAAAGAAGAAAUGGCUUUGGCAAAUGGAACAGCGUGGCUUACGCAACCGCAGUAAAAGAGGUAAAAUGGACAAGGAUAUGAUGCCUCCUCCCAAGGCGGGUCCAGUGACUACUCUCGGUGGAUUCCUAAGGAAAGCUCAACGCACGUUACUCAAUACACCCUGGCAGAUUAUACAGGUAGCCGAAACCCCCGAACCCGGUCUCUUCAAAGUCUGGGCUUUAGUAGGGUCCGAACUGCACCAGAUCAAGCUAUCAGUCCCGCGUAUAUUCUACGUGAACCAGCGCGUGGCCCGGGCGGCGGACAGCGGCCAGUACUGGCGCAAGUGCAGCCGCGUGCUGCCGCGGGCGCAUCCCGUGCUGCACCUGUACCAGUACACCGUGCCCGAGCACCUGUACCGGGAGCAUCAGGAGGAAUUAACAUCGGAAUUAUGCGCUCCGGAAAUCGAAGGGAUAUACGAAACACAGAUGAGUUUGGAAUUCAGAGUGCUAGUACAACUUGGAUGUAUAUGCACUGUCGAUCCACAAGAAGCGAGGAAGAUGAUUCAAUUUGGGUCUAGUAAUAUGGAUUCGUUUGCAUUAAACCAACUACAGUUCAAAAGUGUGGCGCUGCAACCAUAUUUACAAAAGCAGGACGGCGUCCCCCCAGUGAAACACAUUUACCUCUACCAGCACUCUGCACUCAACUCUUCACGCAGCAUGUGGGCACUAGUACUGCCGCCCGUCAAACGCGCAUACAUAUACGUGCUAGACACAGUCAAGACCAACCAAGUGCCUAAUAUGAACACUCUGUAUCUGGCUGAGAGGACUGCCAAAAUAAACCUAGGCACAGAAGAAUCUUCCCUCCCCGGCGCCGAGCUAACAUGGGAAGUAGUAGUAGAGACAGAAUCCCGCGCCGUCAGUCGACACCUGCAACGCGCGUUGCAACGUUACAAGGACGAACGUUGCGGACCCACGCUGUUGGCGUUGCAGGCUACACUCUCCCCACACUUGUUGCUGCAACUAAUGCCAGGUUUAUCAGACUUCCCCCUGGUGCCUAUCCACGUGCGUGACGUGGAGACGCUGUACAGCGCGCUGGAGUGGCAGCGCAUCGGCGCCAGAGCUAUCGUCAGACAUUAUCUAGCACUGGACGCCGUGCUGCAGCUUACUAUCGAGCAGUGCAGGUACUUCCACGUGCCUCUCGGCAACAUGCCAUCAGACCCGACAGUGUUCGGCGCCGACCUGUUCUACGCGCGACACCUCGUCAAGCACAACUUCGUGCUCUGGUGCUCUAAUAGAGACCUGCCUGAUCUGGGCGGCAGGGAGACUGAUGAUAAUAGGCUAGUAAGCGAAGUAGAAGAGCUAUCAGGGUGUACGCACAUAGCUCGGGGUGCUUACAACAGUGUGUGCGUGGAGCUGGACACUGACGCGUUAGGAGUCUGUGCGUUACUGCAGGCGCACUCUAUACUGCACGCUGAAGGGACCAGCCUCGCUACCGCCUUCGGAGCCAACCAUGCCAAUAUACAGGAUGUCAUGGCUAACGCUGGUGCGAAUGCAUCGAUGCCGUACGACGAGACGGCGCAGUGCAGCGCGGCGUUCAAGAUCCUGCGCACCAUGAUCGCGUCGUGGCUGCGGGACGUCACGCAGUACAAGAACGUCUUCGCUGAUCUGCAGAUAUCGCACUUUUAUAGAUGGCUCAAAACCCCCACUUCUCUACUAUACGACCCAGCAUUACGGCGCACUCUAUACAACUUAAUGAAGAAGCUCUUCCUCAUGCUAGUGGCGGAGUUCAAGCGGCUGGGCUCGCACAUCGUCUUCGCGGACUUUAACAAAAUCCUGCUGUGUACUAAGAAGAAUAACGUUAUGGAUGGCAUCGGGUAUGUGGAGUUUGUGGUACAAAGCAUCAGAAACAAGGAGCUAUUCCAUGGUAUAGAUAUCCGGUACAAGCAGUGCUGGUCUUACCUGCUGUGGCUGGAUGAGGCUAACUAUGCUGGAGUGCAGGGUAAACUGCCAGAAGGCCUGACUGAAGUUGGUUCGUCACAGUUACCAGCAGCUAGUGAAAAUGGUGAUGAUGAGGACAGUGCAAUAACAAUGCAGUGGAACCUAGCGAACUUCCUGCCGGCGCCAGUGCGGGAGCCCUUCACGGCGGCCGUGGCGGGCUUCCUCAGCGCCGCAUACUCGCAGCCGAAGGAACUGCCUAAUCUGAUACGAGGGGAAAUCUCGCAGAAGCUGUUUCAAGUGACUGAGAAGAUAAAUUCCCGCUACCCGGCAUUACGUCCGGCCGACAUCGGCCGUCAGCCGGGCCUGAAGCCGGACGCGUUCUCGGGCGAGUCCAAACCCGCGCUGCUGUAUGUCAACGCUGUGUGUAAAGUGUUUUCACUUGACCCGACGUUGGAAGACGAGGUGACACUCCUCCGUCGCAACUUACUGCGUCUGAUCAGCGUGGGCGAGUUCAGCGCCGCAGCCGAGUGGCGUGACGCCUGCAACUCGUGCCUGCUCACCGAGAUCAUCUGCAACGUGUGCAACCACUGCCGCGACCUCGACCUCUGCAGAGACACUAACACUGAUGUCGUUAGUGACGUGUGAGUACCUAGCUAUGUACACUGGAGCCUGCUGCAACUCGUGCCUGCUCACCGAGAUCAUCUGCAACGUGUGCAACCACUGCCGCGACCUCGACCUCUGCAGAGACACUAACACUGAUGUCGUUAGUGACGUGUGAGUACCUAGCUAUGUACACUGGAGCCUGCUGCAACUCGUGCCUGCUCACCGAGAUCAUCUGCAACGUGUGCAACCACUGCCGCGACCUCGACCUCUGCAGAGACACUAACACUGAUGACGUUAGUGACGUGUGAGUACCUAGCUAUGUACACUGGAGCCUGCUGCAACUCGUGCCUGCUCACCGAGAUCAUCUGCAACGUGUGCAACCACUGCCGCGACCUCGACCUCUGCAGAGACACUAACACUGAUGUCGUUAGUGACGUACCCGUAUGUUUAUGCCCAACGUGCGGAACUCCGUAUGAGAAUCAAGAGCUCGAGUGGCGACUGAUUGAGAUCAUGAACAGGCGAACUAUGUCCUAUAUACUACAGGAUCUGAUUUGCAAACGGUGUCACCAGGU
rnacentral:misc_RNA from 1 species